UAUAUAGUGGUGUAAUAAGCACAUUAAAUCUUGAGUUUAUUGGUUUAGGUGAGUCUAACUAUGUAG
rnacentral:tRNA from 1 species